rnacentral:rRNA from 1 species
UACGUAGGGUGCGAGCGUUGUCCGGAAUUAUUGGGCGUAAAGGGCUCGUAGGCGGUUUGUCGCGUCGGGAGUGAAAUCCACUGGCUUAACUGGUGGCUUGCUUUCGAUACGGGCAGACUGGAGGUAUGCAGGGGAGAACGGAAUUCCUGGUGUAGCGGUGAAAUGCGUAGAUAUUGGGAGGAACACCAGUGGCGAAGGCGGCUCACUGGACCGGAACUGACGCUGAGGCGCGAAAGCGUGGGGAGCAAACAGG